rnacentral:rRNA from 1 species
GGGUCAAGUGACUAAGAGCAUGUGGUGGAUGCCUUGGCGAUUACAGGCGACGAAAGACGUGAUAGCCUGCGAUAAGCUUCGGGGAGCUGGCAAAUUAGCUUUGAUCCGGAGAUUUCUGAAUGGGGAAACCCACCCGCAAGGGUAUCGCAUACUGAAUACAUAGGUAUGCGAGGCGAACCUGGUGAACUGAAACAUCUAAGUACCCAGAGGAAAAGACAUCAACCG